rfam:Nematostella vectensis strain CH2 x CH6 NEMVEscaffold_239_Cont20328, whole genome shotgun sequence.
ACCAGGAUGGCCGAGUGGUUAAGGCGUUGGACUUAAGUUCAAAUGUACGGAUGUACGCGUGGGUUCGAACCCCACUCCUGGUA